CAAUAGCGUAUAUUAAGUUGUUGCGGUUAAAGCUCGUAGUUGGAUUUCUGCUGAGGACGACCGGUCCGCCCUCCGGGUGAGCAUCUGGUUCGGCCUUGGCAUCUUCUUGGUGAACGUAUCUGCACUUGACUGUGUGGUGCGGUACCCAGGACUUUUACUUUGAGGAAAUUAGAGUGUUUCAAGCAGGCAUACGCCUUGAAUACAUUAGCAUGGAAUAAUGGAAUAGGACUACGGUCUCUUUGUUGGUUUGAGGGACUGCAGUAAUGAUUAAUAGGGAUAGUUGGGGGCGAUUAGUAUUUAAUUGUCAGAGGUGGAAUUCUCGGAUUUGUUAAAAGACUAAACU
rnacentral:rRNA from 1 species